GCCGCGUGGAGGAUGAAGGUCCUCUGGAUUGUAAACUUCUUUUAUCUGGGAAGAAAAACGGGAAUUCUUUCUCGUCUGACGGUACCAGAUGAAUAAGCACCGGCUAACUCCGUGCCAGCAGCCGCGGUAAUACGGAGGGUGCAAGCGUUAUCCGGAUUCACUGGGUUUAAAGGGUGCGUAGGCGGGUAUGUAAGUCCGUGGUGAAAUCUCCGAGCUUAACUCGGAAACUGCCAUGGAUACUGCGUAUCUUGAAUGUUGUGGAGGUGAGCGGAAUGUGUCAUGUAGCGGUGAAAUGCUUAGAUAUGACACAGAACACCAAUUGCAAAGGCAGCUUACUACGCGAAUAUUGACGCUGAGGCACGAAAGCGUGGGGAUCAAACAGGAUUAGAUACCCUGGUAGUCCACGCCCUAAACGAUGAUUACUCGACAUACGCGAUACACAGUGUGUGUCUGAGCGAAAGCAUUAAGUAAUCCACCUGGGAAGUACGACC
rnacentral:rRNA from 1 species